GAUGAAGAACGUAGCGAAAUGCGAUAAGUAAUGUGAAUUGCAGAAUUCAGUGAAUCAUCGAAUCUUUGAACGCAUCUUGCGCUCCUGGUAUUCUGAGGAGCAUGCCUGUUUGAGUGUCAUUAAAUUCUCAACUACACUGACUUUGAAUUGGUGUGGCUUGGAUUUGGGGGGAAAAUUGUUGUGGGCUUUUUGUAUAGUCUGCUCCCCUGAAAUUGAUUAGCGGUACCUUUGUGGAACUGUCUACAGGUGUGAUAAUUAUCUACAUCUUAGACAUCUGCUGGAAUGCUGCUUUCUAAACCUUACUUGUAUUGACAAUCUUGACCUCAAAUCAGGUAGGACUACCCGCUGAACUUAAGCAUAUCAAUAAGCGGAGGA
rnacentral:misc_RNA from 1 species